UACAGAGGUCCCAAGCGUUGUUCGGAUUCACUGGGCGUAAAGGGUGCGUAGGUGGCUUGGUAAGUUCGAUGUGAAAUCUCCGGGCUUAACCCGGAAAUGGCAUUGAAUACUAUUGAGCUGGAGGUUUGGAGGGGGGGACUGGAAUUCUCGGUGUAGCAGUGAAAUGCGUAGAUAUCGAGAGGAACACCAGUGGCGAAGGCGAGUCCCUGGACAACACCUGACACUGAGGCACGAAAGCUAGGGGAGCAAACAGG
rnacentral:rRNA from 1 species